rnacentral:rRNA from 1 species
UGGGGAAUAUUGGACAAUGGGCGCAAGCCUGAUCCAGCCAUGCCGCGUGAGUGAUGAAGGCCCUAGGGUUGUAAAGCUCUUUCACCGGUGAAGAUAAUGACGGUAACCGGAGAAGAAGCCCCGGCUAACUUCGUGCCAGCAGCCGCGGUAAUACGAAGGGGGCUAGCGUUGUUCGGAUUUACUGGGCGUAAAGCGCACGUAGGCGGACUUUUAAGUCAGGGGUGAAAUCCCGGGGCUCAACCCCGGAACUGCCUUUGAUACUGGAAGUCUUGAGUAUGGUAGAGGUGAGUGGAAUUCCGAGGGUAGAGGUGAAAUUCGUAGAUAUUCGGAGGAACACCAGUGGCGAAGGCGGCUCACUGGACCAUUACUGACGCUGAGGUGCGAAAGCGGGGGGAGCAAACAGG